CAGUGGCGAAGGCGACUCUCUGGUCUGUAACUGACGCUGAGGAGCGAAAGCGUGGGGAGCGAACAGGAUUAGAUACCCUGGUAGUCCACGCCGUAAACGAUGAGUGCUAAGUGUUAGGGGGUUUCCGCCCCUUAGUGCUGCAGCUAACGCAUUAAGCACUCCGCCUGGGGAGUACGGUCGCAAGACUGAAACUCAAAGGAAUUGACGGGGGCCCGCACAAGCGGUGGAGCAUGUGGUUUAAUUCGAAGCAACGCGAAGAACCUUACCAGGUCUUGACAUCCUCUGACAAUCCUAGAGAUAGGACGUCCCCUUCGGGGGCAGAGUGACAGGUGGUGCAUGGUUGUCGUCAGCUCGUGUCGUGAGAUGUUGGGUUAAGUCCCGCAACGAGCGCAACCCUUGAUCUUAGUUGCCAGCAUUCAGUUGGGCACUCUAAGGUGACUGCCGGUGACAAACCGGAGGAAGGUGGGGAUGACGUCAAAUCAUCAUGCCCCUUAUGACCUGGGCUACACACGUGCUACAAUGGACAGAACAAAGGGCAGCGAAACCGCGAGGUUAAGCCAAUCCCACAAAUCUGUUCUCAGUUCGGAUCGCAGUCUGCAACUCGAUUGCGUGAAGCUGGAAUCGCUAGUAAUCGCGGAUCAG
rnacentral:rRNA from 1 species